CUUGAACUCACUAGGUAGACCAGGCUGGCCUCAAACUCACAGAGAUCAGCCUACCUCUGCCUCCUGAGUGCUGGGAU
rnacentral:miRNA from 1 species